ensembl:lncRNA
UGCGGCCCCGGGCGGCGCGCAGGAGCCUCCCGCAGAAACUACCGGGAAGGCAGCGACACCAGGGCGCGCAGGAGCCUCCCGCAGAAACUACCGGGAAGGCAGCGACACCAGGAAAAUCAAUCACGCUCUAGUUUCAAAUUUCAGGAGACAGACUUCCACCAAGGAGAAAAGGUGAGAAGUGAACUGCAGUUCAUUUCAGCUUUAGUCGUUCUUCAAAAUAUAUACAUGUGCACGUAUACUUUCAUCCCUCACAUGCAUAGGAUCCGCAUUAAGAGCAAUGCAAAAGCAAAAACCAGCAGAGCCCGAACUGACCUGAAUCCUCUGCACUUCAGAAGGGGGUUCAGAGAAGCCCAGGAUAAGAGCAGAUCUUACAUCUCCUGACAAAGAGGAGGAAGUCACUUAGAUAUCAUGACUGAGAUUAUAAAGCAUUAGCAAUCGUACAGGAAACAGUCACCUUGGAAACUGAGAUGCUGAGAACAACCCAGAAAAUCUGGCACAGGGUAGUUUUCUUUGUUAAACUAGGUUAAUUUUGAAGGGCAAAUAUCCGAUUCUAACAUCGCUUCAGAAACAGAAACUCUAGAUUGCCGAGGUGAUAACGACAUCUGUCCCCAAAAAGUCCCUCCUGGAAACACAAACCGCUUGAGUUCUGUCAGGGCAGGCCCUGCUCGCUCCCUGGCAGCCUUCCCGCUGUCCCAGUUCCUUGAUGCACGGCCAAAGACUCGAGCUGCCCACGGAGACAGGGGUCUCCCAGGUCCACGUGGUUUGGAAGCAGGUCCUACAUCCGAUGACAGCUCUGCAGUGGGAGCGAAGGAGUGGCACAGGCUGUUCCCCCCCCGGACCCCUGUGGGCAUCCUCAGAUACAUCAUGCAGGAGCUUGUGGCUGUGCCCAGGCAGGUGACAGAGCUGCUCCACCUGGAUCUUAUUGACAUACCAUGCUGGGGGAGAGGAGCUGACAAAGGGCCCCUUGUCACCACCGCAUGCUUAUCUCAGUGCUCCAGGGGAGGCAAACGGGAAGCACCUAUCUGUUGCAUAAACUAUUAGCUUUGGAAUUACACAGCUGACCUCUCUUUGCUCCUGCCAGAGAUGAUGCCUGUACCCUGGGAGCACCUGGAGCACAGGGUGAGGCCUCCUGUGUGAAUGGGAUCUGCUUUCCAGCAGCCCCUCCUGGAAGGCUGCUCAAGAACUGGACAGCAGGGCUAGUGUCAGAUCUUACAACCGCUGCUGAAUGCUUCUCUCCUUUGCUGUUCCCCUGUAGGCAGCAGCGAAAGGGGAUGAAGUAGUUACCACAACAGCGUCUGCAAAAACCCAUGAACCUUCCCCUUUAACAUUUCACUGAUUUUGGUUGCCAUUCCUUGGAUGUAUCAAGGCAUUCAAGGGCACAGCCAGGAGCUGGCUGUUCUGCUCAGUGAUUCCUAAUUGACCAUCCUACCAGCAGUGUGUUGCUGCAAGCCAGCCCGCCAGCUACCUGCUAGGCGUGCCAUCAGCACGGAGGCUGCACACCAUCCCCUGCGGGGCCCACACCGAGGCAAGGGCGAGGCCUCCCUACCCUCAUCAGCAUCAAACACACGCUCUACGUGGCACAGUCAGGUUGUGCACAAAAAUAAAUAGAAAUCAACUUGCA